UGCCGCACCGAGUGGACGUGUUGCUGCAGUUCCACCAGACAGACCGCCGCUGCUGUUGGUUGCUGCUCCCGCUAGGUGCUGGCGAGGUGGAUGCAUUCGAGUGUGUGUGUAACGUGACACGUGGUGUGACGGGUAUUGCAUGUGUGGUCUGUUGUGUUUGUGCAGGUUGAAAUGUGCGAGCUUUAUAUGCGAGUUUUACAUUAGCUUAUCAUUCGUUUAAACCAGAAGACAAACGUGGAUAACCAAAGUUCCCUGAUUGGAUUAACACGUCUGGAUUCACCGCUUCCAUUGCCUAUGAUGUCAGCCUCCUGUUCCUCCGAACCUUCCAGCACCGGUUCGUCCGCUUUGCAGGAUCUGUCAGAUCCUGUCUCACCGGUGCUUGGAAUCUCUUCUUCGCUGUCUCUGGCCGCAACUUCAGCCGGAGUAUCCGUGGAGAUGUCGUGGGAGACGAAGCCACUCAACUCGCUGUUUGACUGUAAGGUAGCUGACAUGCCUCCGGUUGUAUCUACGUCACCUGCCUCUUCAGGGAGGUGUUCUUCCAGUGCGUGUUCUGCACGAUACAACAGAUUUAUAAUCUAUGGCACAUUCACUAACAGGACAGUGUUUGGGUACAACUACAAGCUUGCAAGGACGAAGUGUAUUAGCAAUACCACCAUAGUAGUUGAAAGUGAAAGAUUUUCUGAUUCAUUCGAUAUCCGAUUGGAGCUCCAGUUAAUUUAAGACGAGAGAAUAUAUUGUGUGGAUUUUACUUCGCAUUUUUUAUAAAAAGCAACUUUCAAUACCGUGAUUUUAUGUGAUAAUUAUGUAACAU